ACCGCCCCAGGACCCUGUCCGCAGGAGCAGCACAGCAGGCAGCUGCAGGGCAGUGGGAGGAGCUGUCGAGUCAGCUCUUCUACUACGGAGGGGAACUGCAGAGCCAGAAGAGCACGGAGCAGCAACUCGCAGCCCAAUUGGUGACGCUGCAGAAUGAACUGGAGCUGGCGGAGACCAAAUGCGCCUUGCAGGAGGAGAAGCUGCAGCAGGACGCGCUGCAGACAGCGGAGGCCUGGGCCAUAUUCCAGGAGCAGACCGUAGUCCUGCAGGUGCGGCCCCACUCAGACGCCAAGGUGCCUCCCGCCUCUCCUCCCCCAGACCUGGGGCGGUAAGUCUCCCAACCCACCGCCAGGACGCCUCCCCGAGGCCUCAGUCCGCACUCUCACCCGCUCCAGGAGGUGCAGGUGAAGGUGAUGGAGGCUGCGGAGGAGCUGGACGCCUGGCAGAGUGGCCGGGAACUGUGUGACGGGCAGCUUCGCAGAGUGCAGUACAGCACCGAGUCGCUCAUGGAGGAGAUGGCCAGGGCGGACCGAGAGACGCGGCUGUUCGGCGGUCCUCGCGCGCUGGCCAUCAGGCGCUGCUGACGCUGCCGCUCCUCUUCCUGGGGCUGUCGCUGCUCUGGACGGUGCUGUUGGACCCCGGCGCCGUCUCCGCGUGGCUCUGGAGCCUCACCUCGGAGACGACGCUGCGCCGCCUGCGCUACACGCUGUCCCCGCUGCUGGAGCUGCGCGCUAACGGGCUGCUGCCAACCUAAGUGCAGCGCCCCGCGCCUGGCUCCAGGUGGACUCCAGGGCACCGGCUUUAUUUCUGGUGCACUCCUCUCCUGAGAGUGUAGACCAAGGUCGCCUAAUAAACUCCUCAAGGGAUGAAGCUCGUGGGUUCGUCGUCUGUCUCCCAUGUCAUGUAGGAGCUUGACUGGCUUUUCAGCCUCCAAAGAUUCCUUCCUUUCUUACAGCUCAUGGAUUUAGAUCCACUCCCCAGUAUUGUAAACAGCAUUUUUAGUUUUUCAGGAUACAUAAUUUGCCAUAUUGCCAGAAACUUGUACAUAGCAUUUGA
rnacentral:lncRNA from 1 species